rnacentral:pre_miRNA from 18 species
UCGGACCACGCCUUCAGUUGCCUCGUGAUCCGCCGAAUCUGUAAUGGACGAAUCACAGUCAACUGUUGGCACGGUCCUU